CAGAAAACGUGUUGCCUUUCCUUGACUUCCUCCCUCUCCAGUGAUUGUCUGUUACUUCCUCAGCAACAAUUCAACUCUAUAUCUGGUACCAGGAGACAAGGGCUAUGGUUAUCAUGUGGCAAGUGCAGUUUGUGAGUGGCUAGUUGCAUUCAGCUUUAAUUUCUUCUUCUUAACAUAUAUCAAGGAGUUUCAGACAUUCACCAUAAACAUAAGAACAGUGUUACUUCAAGACUCAUGUAAUGAGUCAUAAAAUAUGUUCCAAAAGACCACUUUCCUCUCCCGGGUUAGUAUGUUCAGGAAACAUUUCCAGACCCAGGGAACAUCUGGAAAAGUGAAAGCAUCCAUCAAUAUCCUUGUGUUUUCUUUUUUAUAGUCUCUACUUUAUUCUAUUUUAAGCCACUUCCAUGUAAUGCUGCUUACAGCAAUAACUUGCAUUUAUAUUAUGCCUUUUAAAGUAGUGAAACAUUGAGAGGUCCUUCACAGGAAUGUUUCCGAGUGAAAACAGGAGACCUUAGGGGAGGUGACCAAAACUUACACAGGUAUGUUUGAAGCAGAGGUUUAUGAAUGGAAUUCCAGAGCUUGCAUCUUAAGAUAUCUGAGAGGUGAGGGGUAUUCUGGUAUCAUCCAACCCCAGUGCGAGUAUAACUCCAACUGUGAAUUUCCUCAAGAUGUUUUGCUAUUUUAAACUUGCUUUGUAUAUCAUAUUCCUUCAAAAGUAAUCCACCUAGCUUCUGAAUCAUGGUCAAUCAGUCUGCAUCAAUCCAUUUACACAAGAACAACCUGAAUACAAACAACCUAGUCUUAAGAUUGUUUAAACACCACAAACAUAAACUGGUUAGAUCUUGAGUUCACUGAGCAUUUGGGCAGCUAAUGUAAGUUGGCAGUUCUGUACUUGCUAUCUUCUUGUCAUGUUACAAUGCUGGCUUAAAAAGGCUGCAAAGAGCAAGGUUCACAGUUACAACUCAAAUGUGAAACCACAGCUGCUGUUCUCAGAGUACUUGAAGCAUGUCAUUUGAGAGUCCGUUUACAGCAACUUUUCUUGUCCCUUUAACACUGUUAAAUAUUCCCAAGGUACUUCAGAAUGGUUAUCCGACACACACUACAAGAGGAUUUCAGUUCAGAAGUAGGGAUGUCUUACUGAGUUAUAAAGGACUUUGAUGAGACCACACUAUUGUGUGCAGUUUUGGUCUCCCUACCUAAGAGAGUCAGA